rnacentral:rRNA from 1 species
AAUCGGUAGCAGACAACAGGGAUUGCUCUAGUAACGGCGAGUGAAGCAGCAAUAGCUCAAAUUUGAAAUCUGGCGUCUUCGACGUCCGAGUUGUAAUUUGUAGAGGAUGCUUCUGAGUAACCACCGACCUAAGUUCCUUGGAACAGGACGUCAUAGAGGGUGAGAAUCCCGUAUGCGGUCGGAAAGGUGCUCUAUACGUAGCUCCUUCGACGAGUCGAGUUGUUUGGGAAUGCAGCUCUAAAUGGGAGGUAAAUUUCUUCUAAAGCUAAAUAUUGGCCAGAGACCGAUAGCGCACAAGUAGAGUGAUCGAAAGAUGAAAAGCACUUUGGAAAGAGAGUUAAAAAGCACGUGAAAUUGUUAAAAGGGAAGGGAUUGCAACCAGACUUGCUCGCGGUGUUCCGCCGGUCUUCUGACCGGUCUACUCGCCGCGUUGCAGGCCAGCAUCGUCUGGUGCCGCUGGAUAAGACUUGAGGAAUGUAGCUCCCUCGGGAGUGUUAUAGCCUCUUGUGAUGCAGCGAGCGCCGGGCGAGGUCCGCGCUUCGGCUAGGAUGCUGGCGUAAUGGUCGUAAUCCGCCCGUCUUGAAACACGGACCAAGGAGUCUAACAUCUAUGCGAGUGUUCGGGUGUCAAACCCCUACGCGUAAUGAAAGUGAACGGAGGUGAGAACCGCAAGGUGCAUCAUCGACCGAUCCUGAUGUCUUCGGAUGGAUUUGAGUAAGAGCAUAGCUGUUGGGACCCGAAAGAUGGUGAACUAUGCCUGAAUAGGGUGAAGCCAGAGGAAACUCUGGUGGAGGCUCGCAGCGGUUCUGACGUGCAAAUCGAUCGUC